UGCGCUGUUUGAGCGGCCGAUAUCUGAUUAGCUAGUUGGUGAGGUAAAGGCUCACCAAGGCGACGAUCAGUAGCUGGUCUGAGAGGACGAUCAGCCACACUGGGACUGAGACACGGCCCAGACUCCUACGGGAGGCAGCAGUGGGGAAUAUUGCACAAUGGGCGCAAGCCUGAUGCAGCGACGCCGCGUGAGGGAUGACGGCCUUCGGGUUGUAAACCUCUGUUAGCAGGGAAGAAGAGAGAUUGACGGUACCUGCAGAGAAAGCGCCGGCUAACUACGUGCCAGCAGCCGCGGUAAUACGUAGGGUGCGAGCGUUAAUCGGAAUUACUGGGCGUAAAGCGCGCGUAGGUGGUUUGUUAAGUUGGAUGUGAAAUCCC
rnacentral:rRNA from 1 species